rnacentral:rRNA from 1 species
AGUGAACGCUGGCGGUAGGCCUAACACAUGCAAGUCGAACGGCAGCACAGGAGAGCUUGCUCUCUGGGUGGCGAGUGGCGGACGGGUGAGGAAUACAUCGGAAUCUACUCUGUCGUGGGGGAGAACGUAGGGAAACUUACGCUAAUACCGCAUACGACCUACGGGUGAAAGCAGGGGACCUUCGGGCCUUGCGCGAUUGAAUGAGCAGAUGUUGGAUUAGCUAGUUGGCGGGGUAAAGGCCCACCAAGGCGACGAUCCGUAGCUGGUCUGAGAGGAUGAUCAGCCACACUGGAACUGAGACACGGUCCAGACUCCUACGGGAGGCAGCAGUGGGGAAUAUUGGACAAUGGGCGCAAGCCUGAUCCAGCCAUACCGCGUGGGUGAAGAGGGCCUUCGGGUUGUAAAGCCCUUUUGUUGGGAAAGAAAUCCAGCUGGCUAAUACCCGGUUGGGAUGACGGUACCCAAAGAAUAAGCACCGGCUAACUUCGUGCCAGCAGCCGCCGUAA